GCAAGUCGAGCGGAGAUGUGGAGUAGUUUACUACGAAGCAUUUUAGCGGCGGACGGGUGAGUAACGCGUGGGCAACCUGCCCUAUGCAGGGGGAUAACACACCGAAAGGUGUGCUAAUACCGCAUAAUACUAAUAAGUCGCAUGACUUUUUAGUCAAAGAUUUAUCAGCAUAGGAUGGGCCCGCGUCUGAUUAGCUAGUUGGUGAGGUAAUGGCUCACCAAGGCGACGAUCAGUAGCCGACCUGAGAGGGUGAUCGGCCACACUGGAACUGAGACACGGUCCAGACUCCUACGGGAGGCAGCAGUGGGGAAUAUUGCACAAUGGGGGAAACCCUGAUGCAGCAACGCCGCGUGAGCGAUGAAGGCCUUCGGGUCGUAAAGCUCUGUCCUAAGGGAAGAAU
rnacentral:rRNA from 1 species